AGUUAAUAAAUUGUGAAUUAGUAAGAAGAAAAAAAAAAUAGUAAUAAUUCCACUCCACGUGUUUCUCAUAAUAAUCAACAGUCUCUACUUUUCUCGAUAAUGGAUCCUCGUGGUAGGGCACUAAUUUUGCACUGACAGAGUGAAAGAGACGACCAUGCAAAUGUACGAUCAUCUUUGGUAGCCAUCUCAGAAAAGGGUUGGCUCUGAUACUAGAGA
rnacentral:misc_RNA from 1 species